GGGCUCCGAAAGGAGAGCGUGGUGGCUGGAGGUGAUCGGAAUGGACCGGCUGGAGUGUGCCGGGCUGACAGGUCUGAGGCCUGAAGGACUUCCGGGAACCGCAAAGCACGGUGUGCCUCAGUUGUCCUGAAGAAAAAGCCGCGCGCGGACGACUGGCCGGCCCGCCGUUGCAGCUCCCAGAAGUUGACAGGCAUCCUGCCGUGACCGGGAUCUUGCAGUGUCACCCAGGCUGGAGUGCAAUGGCAUGAUCAUAGCUCACUGCAACCUUGACCUCUCACGCUCAACUGAUCCUCCCAUCUCAGCCUCCCAAGUAGCUGGGAUGACAGCCCUGUGAAGUGCCUGACUCCCACUUUGCCUUCUGCCAUGAUUGGACACUUCCUGAGCGCCCCCUCCCCAGAAGCAGAAACUGCUGUGCUUCCUCUACAGCUUGAAGAACUGUGAGCCAGCAAAACCUCUUUUCUUUAUAAAUUACCCAGUCUCAGUGUGAGUAUGGUAUCAGGAUGAUUUGACUGCAAGCAACAGAAAAAUCAAACAAAAAUGGCCUAAGCAAAGAAGAGAAAUGAUUAUUUCACAUUCCAAGAAGUUUGGGAGUCGAGUGGUUAAACGGCUAAUUAAUCUAGAGCUCAACAAUAUCACCCAGGACCCAUUUUCACUAUGGUGGCUAAAGCCCUGCACCCUUCAGGCUUGCACUAUGGCAGCAGCAGUGACAGUAAAGACACCCUUACACCACAAUGCUCCAUGACCAGGGAGAGGGUCUCCUCUCUCCUGCCCCUUUCUAGAGGCUCCACCGAAGAUUUCUCUUCACAUUCCGUUUCUCAUUCCUGAAGCAGUCGCUAGCAACAGGGAUGGACUUACUGCAAUGGGUACAGAGCAAUUAAGAUUCGCCACUAGUUAUUCCAAAAUUUCUCUUCAAAGUUAUUGUACCAAUUUGCAGUCCUGCCAGCACUGUAUAAGGUUUUCCAUUUCCCACUAACUCCAUCAAUUCUUCAUAUCAUUGAGUUCACUGAUUUUUGCCAAUCUGACUGGUGUGAGGUGGUAUUUCAUUAUUCUCAUUUGGACUCUUCUUUGAUUGCUAGAGCGAUGGAGUUUCGUUCUGUUGCCCAGGCUGGAGUGCAGUGGUGCGGUCUUGGCUCACUGCAACCUCUGCCUCCCGGGUUCACGCAAUUCUCCUGCCUCAGCCGCCCAGGUCCUGGGUAGCGAUUCCAAAAUAGCUAAGUGACCACAGAUUCCAUCCAGCAUGUGGCCUCCGUAAGUCCGACAGCUGGAGAAGCUGAGAAGAACAUGAACUUGAUGAAGAAUGGUAGUAUCAAGUUGGGAAUUAAGGGCAGUUAGAAAAUGUCCAGACUCAAAUCUGCUAUUGAGGGAAGCGCCUAUUGAGGGAAGCACCGUUUGAUUCUGGUCUGAUUAAUCAGAACUCAUUUGGAGUCCCAAGAGUGGGGAAGCACUUUGCUUCUUAAGGCAUUUUGUCUUCGUAAACACUGCCAUAGAACACCUAUUCAAAAAUGAAUAGACAGUGGAAUGAAUAAGAAAGACCUCACUCAACCUUUGUUUAACUGAGUGCUAUUCAUUUGGAAACUAUUUUUUUUUCUAAUAAUGUAAAGCAGACCUUGAUGUGUUAUGGAAUCCAGAUAAAGUAGAAAAUAAAAAAAAUUUUUGUCAAAAUCCUAAUUUUUCUUUCCAUUUGAAUUUUUUUUUUUUUUUUUUUUUUUGGAGACAGGGUUUUGCUGUGUUGCUCAAGCUAGAAUGCAGUGGUGCAAUUACUGUUUGCUGUAGCCUUGACCUCCAGGGCUCCAUUGAUCCUCCCACCUCAGCCUCUUGAGUAGCUGAGACUAUAAGCGUGCUGCCAUGCCCUGCUAAUUUUUAAAGUUUUUUUUUUUUUUUUUUUUUUUAGAGAUAAGGUCUCACUAUGCUUCCCAGGCUAGUCUAAAACUACUGGGCUCAAGUGAUCCUCCUGCCUCGGCCUCCUAAAGUGCUGGGAUUCCAGGCAUGAACCGCUGCACCUAGCCUCAAGUUUAAUUUUUUAUCAAAUCAAUAUGGGCAUAUGUUUAUUCAAAAUUUUAACAGCACUUACAAUGAAAACUGACACUUUUCAUCUCUAAGUCCCACUACUUGUAUUUAACCCUUUAAUUACUGUAUGCCUUCUGGUAUAUAUCUCUAAAUAGUAUCUUUAUAGUGUUAUUUCUUAACUUUUAUUUUAGAUGUUAUCUAUUUGUGUGUGUGUGUGUAUGUGUGUGUGUGUGUGUAUGUUUUUGUGUGUUUUCCUUAGACAGAGUCUGGCUCUAUUGCCCAGGCUGGAGUACAGUGGCACAGUCAUGGCUCACUGCAGCCUCAACCUAUUGGGCUCAAGUGAUCCUCUCCCCUCAGCCUCCUGAGUAGCUGGGACUACCACCACAUGCCACCAUACCAGGCUAAUGUUUUAUUUUUUGUAAAGGCAGGGUUUUGCCAUGUUGCCAAGGCUGGUUUUGAACUCCUGGACUCAAGCAAUCGUCUCACCUCAGCCUCUUCUGUUGGCUUUUUUCUAUGGGCAAAAGGCAUUCAGCUUUCUUAAAUCAGCCCCCCCCCACCCACUUCUCCCAUUUUCUCAUAGAAUAGUUGUAUCAUAAAACCUUUUAAUUGAUAUCAGUGUUCAGUGUUUGCACUUCUGAGGGCUCGCAAAUGUUAUUCACAGCUGAACUAUGUUGUACACUAAAGCAAUUGUUCUCUUAUCAUAGAAUUUUGUUUUCCCUAGGGUUAAUAAUGACUUGUGUUGUUUGCUUAGUUUUUUUACACCUAUCAAUAAUUCAGACCCAAACUUUCUAAUAGGACAGUACAGCUUAAUUUGAUGUGACAGUUACAGCAGUUAAUUCUUUCUUGAUCAUCUUGGUCCUGGAAGUCCAGUUUAUUUUCAAUGCAUAAAUCUAAUUUUUUAUUUUGUUUUUAUGAAAUUGGGAUUCUACUAUAUAUACUUACACUGUAUUGUAAGUGAAUUUUUCACCAAGCAAUGGAUCAUGAACAUCUUUCAUGCCUAAAACAACCUAUUUAAUGGAUGCAUAGUAUUCUAUUGCUUGAACAUACCGUAAUCCAUUAAACUAAUUGUCCAUUGUGACACAUUUACACAGUGUUCAAUUUUUCACUUUUAUAAACGACCCUGAGUCUCAGACUCCUGAAGCCCAAUUUUGCCUAAUUAUUUCCUAAGAUAAAUUCUAAGCAUUGAAUUGCUAGGUCAAAUGAUAUGUAGAUUAUUCAGGAUUUGACACAGACUUUCCUCCAGCAAUAGUGUUGAAUUUGAGAAAUAUUGCCAAUUCUGGGCUUUGUCAUCUUAAACAUUCAGUCAAUCUUAAAGCUAAUUAUUUUAAUUACCAUUUGUUUAAUAACUCAUGAGAUUGUGUAUGUUUUUGUACGCUGAUUUGAUAUUUUGGCUCUAAAUUUUGUGAAUUGCCUGGUUAUAACCCUCAUUCAUUUUAUUCCCUGCUGCUUCUUAAUAAAACCUUUCCAUUUUAGUUUGUAAUCAUUGCUUUGCCAGACCUAUUUUUUGUAUUCUAGCUCUUCGUCUCUUUUCCCAUGCUGUUUGCAUAAUUUGUUUAACCAUUCGCCUGUUCACGCAUCUAUCUAAUAUUUAUUGAGCACCUAUUACAGUCUUUAAGGAAUUGUGAACACCAUAGACAAAACAGUGUCAUCGCUCUUAUGGAACUUACAUUUUAGAAAAAGGAGACAUCAUAAACAAGUAAGCAAAAACAAAAAUAUCAGAUUGUAAGUGUUACAGAGAGGCUUAACACUAGGUACCAUGCUAGGGAAUGGUAAGGCAAAUCCUUUAGAUUGAGCAGUCAAGGAAGGUGUCUCUGAGCAGGUGACACUCUAGGACACUCUAGGUCUUUGUGACACAAGGAAGCCAGCUAUCUAGCAUGACAUUCCAGGAGGAAGAAAGAGGGUACAUAAAGCUCCAUCUCCUGCCAAUUUGAAAUAUAACUUUUUAAAGGCAAAGUCCCAGUCCUAUGAAGUUUUUUUGAACCCUUUUGGCCCACAGCGAUAGAGGCAGGAGGAAGAGAACUCUCCUAGGCAGAUAGGGGAGGGUCCCUGGAGAAUCUCUGCCCCGCCAAGGUCAUUGUGCACAGAUGGCUUGCCUAAACAUGUGGUAAAAGCCUCCGUCCCUUAACACAUGUGCAGUAAGGGAAAUAAAUCAAAUGCGGAGUGGCUCAGAGUAAGGGCCCACAUAGGCCCUGGAAGGGUGGGAUGGAACUGCCAGGAAUUCGUGCCUUGUACGAGUAGGGAACCCAGCCCCAUCAGCAGAUAUGGAAGCCCUCAUAUUCAACAGUGAAGGGGGGCAACUGGCUACCUGCUUUCAGGACUCCUCUUUUUGCUGAGAGCUUUCCUUUUCACUUAACAAAUUCUACUCCACUCACUCUUCGAUGGCCACAUGCCUAAGUUUUCCUGGUCAUGAGACAAGAACCUGGAUUUAGCUGAGCUAAGGAGUAAAAAAUCCUGCAUCAACAGCAAACACUGUUUUAAUGUCAUAUAAUUCUCAUUGUCUGAACUACUUAUUUGGCAUUUAAAAUUUAUAGACUCAUAUAAUAAUUCAUCUUAGGUUUAUUAUACAGGUUCAGCAUCCUGAAUCCAAAACUCCAAAAACCAAAAUGUUCCAAAAUCUGAAACUUUUUGAGUACUGACAUGACAUCACAAGUAGAAAAUUCCACACUUGACACCUUUGCUUUCCAAAGGUUCAAUGUAUACAAACUUUAUUUAAUGCACAAAAUUAUUAAAAAUAUCAUAUGAAAUUACCUUCAGGCCAUGUGUGUAAGGUAUAUAUAAAACAUAAAUGAAUCUUGUGUUUAGACUUGGGCCCAACCCCAAGAUAUUUCAUUAUGUAUAUGUAAAUAUUCCAAUCCCAAGAUAUUUCGUUAUGUAUAUGUAAAUAUUCCAACAUCCAAAAAAAUCUGAAAUUUAAAACACUUCUGGUCCCGAGUAUUUUGGAUAAAACAUACUCAACCUGUAUUUUCUUUCUCAGAUGAGUCUAAGAAUUUCUUAGAGUUAAAGUACUAUAUCUUAUGUUUAUUAGUGAAGACAAACUUAUCUGAUGUAUACCAGAUGCUCAUAGUUAUAUUUCUGAGUAAUACAUAAAAUUACAAUCUUGGUUGCUUGCUGUAGGUUUGUCUAAUUCAGUCUUUGAAAGCCUGGGAAAGAGCCAUGGCAUAUGAGGUCUUUGGUUCAAAUAGGCUAGAAAAAAAGGAAGUUGUUUAUUGCAGAAUAUGAAAUUAAAUUAAAAAGCUAACACAUUUACUUUCUUGUUGAUGAAACCCUUAUAAGAAAGUGAAUCAACAGAAGAAAAAAUCUAGGCCCAAGUACAAUUUCAAUAACUAGUGUUUGAUAGGGAGCAGAUCACUACCAUUUCUGUGCAAGUGUGUGUGUGUGUGUGUGUGUGUGCACGCGCACACAUGGAGUGUUUAUUUAGUGUCCUCUAGGUGUUUUGGUAUAUGCUUGGGAGUGUCGAUGGAAGGGAAAUGGUUAUAUGAAAAAAUAUGGUUAUUGUCUUAAAAAAUCAUACACUCUAUUGAAGACAGAUAAAUGCUGAGUACCUAGAACUCAGAAAAUUGCUAGGAACCUCUAGAAACUUAAAUAACAUAUGCAAUACUGUAAUCAAUCAAUCUUAUACUUAAGGGCCCAAGAGUGCUAAGUAUACAGCUAGGAAUAAGGAAACAGAUGGCUUCCCAUACAGGCAGUGGCAGAAGACUAAUUGUAGACAGAGAUUGGUGUGGGGUGUAUUUGUGUGUGUGUGUGUGUGUGUGUGUGUGUGCUCUGAUGUAUGUCAGACACACUGGAGAUGGAAUUCUAACCAGUUUCCUCUCACUCACCUUUUAAUGAUCUAAUCCAUCUGUUAUUUGUAUCUCAGUGAGUGAUUUUCUGGUUCUCAUAACUUCAGGUUUAAUAACCCAGAAACCAGUUAGGAGAUAAAGGUUCAGAAGAAGGGAAACACCAAACCCAAAACGUUUUUUAGCAAACAAAAAUGCAAAAACAUUGAAUGCUCCCAGUCAGAGAAGAUACUCACAUCGCUGAGCUCUGGAAACAUUUAAGAAAUGUUUGGAUUAUGUGGCUCAUAAAUAGAUAAGGAUUGGUAAACGCCAAGCUAGGUCAAUAAAAAGUCUCAAUAAAUAAGUAGGGAAAGAGUGGUAGCACCGCAGAAGGAGAACAAGAACAUCUUUGAAACAGAUAAACAAUUGAUGCAGAAUUGUGAUCAAGACGUUCCUGUUCGAGGCGGAAGUUCAGCUCCAGAAAUUAAUUAUAGUAUGACCUUGAGCAACUUAUUGAACCUCUGCGUGCUUUUGUUGCCUUAUCUGUGGAAUGGAGACUCACUUAAUGGAUAGUUUCUGGGCACCUAUAUUGUACCAUACUCGGUCUUAGGUGCUCAGACAUUGCCCUAGGCACUAGCUAGCAGUUACUUUCUUCAGAGGGCUGUUACUAAAUUAAUCCAUAAAUGUAAAGCGCUGAGAACACUACUAUCAUCAUGAGAUGCAGAAAUCAAUUUUAGAUAGGAAAGAGGAUGAAAAGUACAAUAGCAGAAAUGAACAGGCUGCUGGCAGUGUCAAGGGAACAAGGGGCCGAAACAGGGAAUGCCAUAAUAUAAUGUGCAAUGGAAUCAGAAACAGCCCAGAAAACACUACUUAGUACAUAAAUGGUAAACAAAAGCCCAUGUCCAAACAUACUUGGUUUCCCUUUCUCCAAUCUUCUCUCAUUUGGGUCUAUCAGUAUAUUUACCUUGCUGCUAUAUUAAUUUCUCAAACAUCUAGUAACAGUUGUGGCCACACUCAAAAACUUAACAACUUCCAAUGCCUUCAACCCAAACUAUACAUGUCUAAUUUGGGCAUUCAAGAUACUUAUAAAAUUACUUUUAACUACCUUUUCUCCCUUAUUUUUCACCCAACUCCUACAUUUUGGGUCACAGAUCAUAGAAAGCUUUUGAAUGGCCUGACCGUCUUUUAAAGGUUGUUUGGUUGUAGUAUAAUCUACCAUUUUACUACUUUUUGCUUUAUGCAGUUUUGAUACCACUGCUAUUUGAGGUUAUGAACACUUUCCUUUCCAAACAAUCUAAUAACCCACUCUGAUUAAACUAGCUUUACUUUUUUUUUUUUUGCCUUUAGAGAUAGCAGAGUACCUUGUACACAGUAGGUGCUUAAUAAAUAUUAAUCCACUCUUGUUCCUUAGCUGUACUCAUGUUUCUUGCUGUUUUUGGAAUGAUUUCCAACUUUUCUUUGUUUGCCAAAAAAUAACCAUCCUUCCAGGACCAAAUCAAAAGUCAACUCUUCAAAGCCUUCCUGUCUGUCUUGUCACAGGUGAGAUGACCCUCUUCCCCUUCAAAGUAUGACUUUAUCCAGAAAAUGUAUACCCUGCCUGUCUCAAGUGUUACAGAACUGAUACUAUUUGUGUAAGUGUGGCUAUUUGUGGCUGCAAAUGCAAAGUCUUUGAAGACAGUGUGUUCUAUUAAUUUCUGUAUCUACAGUAUUCACUUAGCACCUGAUGCCUACUAGUUACUUGAGAGAUUAAAAACGAAUUUUCUGAAUAAAUGGAAGAAUGGGUGAAGUCUUGAGCAGAAAUGGGCCAUUUGAGGUCUGUUAAAGGUCUGAGUGGUUGAGGAGAGCUUAUUUGGUUCCUUCAAGGAUUUUCUCCAGGCUCUCUGCCCCUAGCCUGUACACAGAGUAAGUCUGUAUUUAGAGUAAUGUGAUUUAAAGGUCACAUUUAUUAGCAAAUAGCCGUGUUUAUAAAUUUAGUUUGUCAAAAAAGGGAGCCUUUGAAAUUAAUUCUGUUUGCUGAAACUAGCACCAAGUUCAACCAACAGUGCAUACUGAGCCAAGGUAAGUGAAUUUCCAGCCCAUGUGGCUUUUACAUUCUUAUGCUCCUCACCCACUCCUUUGUAUAUUGUUUUCGAAACUUUACUUAGUAUUUUUACUACAUGACUGGAUCUUUAGCCUGAAAUUUACCUAUUUAGUGUUCAUUUGUUAUUGUUGUGAUAUUCUGCUUUUAAAAGUUUACUGACUGGAGGAGACGGAUUUCAGGACCUAGUGUGAUUUUUUUCCUCUCCAGGCCAGUCACACUGCAGGGCCUUAAUCUCUUUUCUUGAGAGAGUCCAAAGACUGUGGGACUGGGCCUGCUGGUCUGCUGGUGUCCUCCCAUCUCUGCCUCUGAGCACCCUGCUGGAAAGUCUACCCUGAGAUGUUGGUGGACUGGAUCUCUGAUCUAGAAGAAACUGCUCAGAGGCAAAAGCUACAAGAGGCACGUUCUGGCAUGAAUGAUACUGGCUCUUCUGGCCCCCAGAUUGCAGAUCCACAGAGAAGACUAUGGGUAAAAGAUGACCCCAGGUGUAGAACUUCAUCUUAGGAAGAGAUCACCCAACCAGAGACUUCUUACACAUCAUUUGGUUGAUUUUAGUUAACGAGAGCAUGGAAGAUGUUGGAAUAAUUGCUAACAAUCCUGGUCAGGGAAAUUAGGAAGCCUAUCCUCUAAUUAAAAUUUAAUGUAGAGGAACUGACCAUCCUGAAUGAAUAGACUCAAUUCCUUGAGAAGAAGACAGAUAAUUUCAAACUAUUUCCUAGAACAAGUGAAGGCACACAGUUGUACCAAGUGAGGAGGUUUCCCUAGGCAAGAUUGGUGGCAGCCUCAGGAUGUAUGGGGCCGGAGGCUGUUAUAUUCUCACUGGGCGAGAGAAAUGGAUAGGGAAUGAUAAUGAUGAAUGAAUUUUCUUUCAAAGUACUCACUAAGGGAGGCUCUCCAUUUUCUUUGUCCUCACUAAAGUGCCUCAAAAUGCUUAAAGAAUUCCACUUUGGAAUUACUUCCGAACUAGUUUAUAUUUUCUAUCCCGUGACUCUACAAUUGCACCUCAUUUUUAACCAAAAAAUCAUUUCCUGCUUCAUCAACCACCUUAUUCAUCACACAUGGCCCUGGAUGAUUUUUGGUUGUUUCCAAAAAUGAAAUUCAACCUCAAAGCUUAAAGAUUUAUGCUAUUGCAGCUCCUGAAGAAAUGUGCCAUCAACUCUGAAGAUGAAGAGGAGUUCCAGAUAUAUUUUGGUAUUGAAAAAAAUUUACGUCUCAUUAUUUUGCAAUCUCAUACAUUUUCAUAUCUUCUUCUCUUAUAUUGCUUUGAAGAUGAAACUCAGAUCUGUAUAAAGUAUUUCAAGCAUAU